CAAACGACUCUCGGCAACGGAUAUCUCGGCUCACGCAUCGAUGAAGAACGUAGCAAAAUGCGAUACUUGGUGUGAAUUGCAGAAUCCCGUGAACCAUCGAGUUUUUGAACGCAAGUUGCGCCCGAAGCCAUUUGGCUAAGGGCACGUCUGCCUGGGCGUCACGC
rnacentral:rRNA from 1 species